CCUACGGGGCGCAGCAGUGGGGAAUAUUGCGCAAUGGGGGAAACCCUGACGCAGCAACGCCGCGUGAGUGAGGAAGUAUCUCGGUAUGUAAAGCUCUAUCAGCGGGGAAGAAAGAAGACGGUACCCGACUAAGAAGCCCCGGCUAACUACGUGCCAGCAGCCGCGGUAAUACGUAGGGGGCAAGCGUUAUCCGGAUUUACUGGGUGUAAAGGGAGCGUAGACGGCAGCGCAAGUCUGGAGUGAAAUGCCGGGGCCCAACCCCGGAACUGCUCUGGAAACUGUGAAGCUGGAGUGCAGGAGAGGUA
rnacentral:rRNA from 1 species